UCCAAGUAGGAUUUAAAGAAAGGAUGCUAAGUUUACACUUGGGAGGGAGAAACAGGAGGAUCUCUGAGUAUGAGGCCAGCCUGGUGUACACAGAGAUCUGUCUUAAGGACAACAAAACCAAAUACUGUAUCAGGGGUACAGUAUCCAUUCAGUCAGGUCACUCUUCAUCAACUUAUUACAAAUCCCAUGGUAUUUGUUUACCAUGUUACAAGACAGGGCUUAGUCCUCCAGGCUUUAUUGUGGGGGAGAAAGACACCUACUCUAGCUUAUAGCCUUGAAGCGGCUAUACAGCAUACUGCAUACAGGCAGGCAUGUCUGGCAACACACCAUUGAUAGCUGUGGUAGAAGUUAAUAUGACAAGAGGACUGUGGGUCAGUGGAGGAUUCUGGGUGACAGGUCAGGAUUAAAAUCCUAUGAAAAGGUGCCAUUUGUGCAAGUACCUGAUAAGACCAUAGAAAGAGUGUACUUUGGGGAACAACUUUCUCAAAGGCCCUGGGGUUGGAAGAGGGAAUGUCUCUAAGGAAGGAAAAAACAAAACAAAACAAGAAUUCAAAGACUGCAUGAUAAAAGAGCUGCAGGCAGGGAAGGCUGCAGCAUCAGCCUGAGGUACCUAAGAGCAAGUUGUAAAAGCCAGGCCAGGGAGUGGCAUUUUGAAAUUAGCAUUUUGAAGGCCACGCCUACCUACCAAAGAGGAGAUCAUCACACAGAUGGGUUUCACCUUGUGCCUGCAGAGCAGUUAGAGAGCUAGUUCCUGACAACUCUUCCUGUGGAUGCAGAAAUGGGCACAUCCGUGGACUCAAGUGUGACAAAAGGUAGGAAUGUCCCAGAGACCUCGAGACUUGGGUGGCUUCUGUCACCAGCUUUUCUAAUUCUCUGAGACUGGAAUGUGGGGCUAAGUAAAACUUAGGAAGGAAAUUUUCUUUUAAAAAUCAAUUCUCUUUUUUUUUUUUCUUUAAAAAAAAAUUUUUUUUGUUUACCUGUAAUGUUUAUUGGGUUAAGAAGUAUGUGCCUGGCAUAGAUGAAGCAUGGGAGGUCUCAUGAGCGGGACUUGUUAAGUAGGAUCUUUUCUUCUCUCUUCUCUUCUAUCUCCUCUCUAAUUUCCUCAUCUUAAAGGGAGCAGGAACAAUUUGUUGUCUGAGCUUCUGAGCAGUAUUCAGAGGAGUUAAGUUGCAUUUAUUUUUGAGUGUGGCCUUCAUGCUAUAGCACAUGUGUGAAGAUCAGAGGACAGCAUGGGAAUCAUUAGUUCUCUCUUAACGAUGUGGGUCCCUAGGAUGGAACCCAGGUUGUUUGGCUUGCUGGCAAGUACCAUUACCCACUGAGCCAUCUUACCAGCCCUUUACGCACAAGGCUGAAGAGCUGGUGGGUUUCCACUCAUUUUAGUGAUACUUGUUUCAUUUAUGAGCAAAGGGCUCAAGGGAUGAAGAUCCGAGCUGGGACCCUCUGGAUUGCUCAAAUCAGGGUUCCUUUCAUGACCUGAUUUUCCAACUUAGUACAUCAUUAGAACCACCCGAAGGCCCUUGGUCACGUGAUGCUCUUGGUCACAUGAUACCUCCACCAUCUUAGAUGGUUGCAUCAAUAUUUUCCCUGUCAUUAAACUUGUGUGUCUUCUGUGUGUAUCCUAGGCUUUCCCUUAGAUCUUCAGAUAGAUACCAAAGACAAAGAUUUAACAGAAUUCCACAAGGGAGCAGGAGCUUGUUCCGGUGUAGUGGCUGUCUGUCUGGUAUACACUCUGAUGGCGGACGGGCCACCCAUCAACCAGGCAGUCUUCGGGUUUUACACUGUUAACCUCUCUCCCUAGCUGACAGCAAUCUUUUUGGAAGCAGACAGAGUGUUUUCCGCUGAGUUGGUACACACUGGAGGCUGGCACGCAGGCGUGUCCCCUGUGCUCUUGCCAUGAAGGGAAGCGCUGCAAUCUGACUCCCAGAAAGUUCCAUGGGGUUCCAGGGCUGAGCAGCAAGUCGUCAUCCUCGGGAGGACUCUUACUUCCUGGGGGAGGGAGUAUCUGCCUCACUCGGCUGCAUAGCCACCCCUGGUGCCUGAGUUGGGCCCACUCAUCAGAUGGCCUCUCGGAGAUGGCUUACUAGCGCUCCAGAUUUGGUUAGUGCUUGUCUCUGAGGCCACUCACCCCAGGUCAGCCCACAAAGCCCCAAGGAUGUUGAUGGCUUAUUCACCAUUACCAGCCUUGAUUCUCCUGGACAGAGUUUAUCUGUGUAGUCCUAGCUGUCCUUGGAAUUAGCUUUAUAGACACCCGGCUGGCCCUGAAUUCCAAGAUCUUUGCCUGCCUCUGCCUCCUGAGUGCUGGGAUUAAAGACGUGCACCGCCACCGCCCAGAUAUUCUCAGUCUUGAUUGGUGAAACCUGAACAUUCCAUGGGACACCCCCGACACGCCCAAGGCAGCUCUGGUCCCACAUUGUGGGGAGUACACAGUUUUCCAUCACUUGCUUGGGAUCCUGUAAGUUUUUACAUCAUCGGUCCAUAAAUCCCAUCACAGCUAAAACCACUUUUCCUCAAGCCUAUAUUUGAUAAAGAACUGAACAGAGGAUGUGGAGACCUUUUCUAGCCAAAGCCUAUAAUCCUAUCUCACACUUUAAAGAGAUGGAGGCAAGGAAAAUCAAGAGUUCUGCUACAUAAUGGCAAGGUCAGCCUGGGCUUCACACACCCCCUUUUCUCAGAAUAAACAGUAGCUUAGCAGAUGCUCAGCAGGAAUG
rnacentral:lncRNA from 1 species